rnacentral:tRNA from 1 species
GGGCUUGUGGUCUAGUGGCUAUGACGUCUCCCUCACACGGAGAAGUUCCCCAGUUCGAAUCUGGGCAAGCCCA